rnacentral:other from 1 species
CGGAGCAGCCGCAGCCCGCAGCCCGCAGAGGACGCCCAGAGCGGCAAGCCCGCGGGCAGACUGACAGACCGACUCGCGCCGCGUCCACCUGUCAGCCCGGCAGUGCGCGCAACGGGAACGCAGCGCGCGCCGAGCAGCCGUGCCCGCCGCCCGGGCCCCGCGCCAGGGCGCACACGCUCCUGCCCCCCCACCCGGCCCGGGCGGGAGUUUGCACCUCUCCCUGCCCGGGUGCUCCUGCCGCCGCUGCAAAGACAACUUUGGAAAAAGUUUUUUGGGGAAGAUUUGGGCUUUGAGGUGCCAAGCCCUGAGCUUUUUGAUUUGGGGGACCUCUUCAGAAAAUGUUGCAAAAAAGCUAAGCCAGCGGGCAGAGGAAAACGCCUGCAGCCGGCGAGUGAAGACGAACCAUCGCCUGCCUGGCGUGUUCCUUUUCCUCUUGGAGGUUGGAGUACCCUGCGCGCCCCCACACGGCUAGACGCCUUGGCUGGUUCGCGACGCAGCCCCCCGGCCGUGGAUGCUCACGCGGGCUCGGGAUCCGCCCAGGUAGCAGUCUCGGACCCUGGUCAUCCCCAGCCCCCCAGCGACGGAGCCGGGGC